GUUUUCUCAAGUACCUCACAAACAGAGAACUGCAUUGCUUCAACAUCUGAAAUGGAAGAACAUUAUCAAGUAGACAACAUGUCAGACACACUUACGAUAGACAAAACUCCCAGCACCAAUGUGGUACAAAUGUCACAGAAUUCAGAACUGAAGAAACUGGAACGAGCCAUGUU